AGAGAGAGAGAGAGAGAGUUGGUCUUGUGUGCUAUUAAGAGCACAGAGGUCUGCGUGCUCCUAAGCCAUUUUCGAUGAUGGAGCUUCCGAAUCGAUGAUCGGCUCCAUUAGACUUAAUCUAGCGUAUUUGAACAAUCUAGAAAAUAAUUUUUGUGAUUUUUCUGUAUCAUUUUCCUAGUAAUCGAAAGGGUUCAAAAUCAACAAUUUUUAAUGGUCGAUGUAUACCGUUUGCAAGUUUAACGGUGUAGAAAUGUUCAAAUCAGAUGAAAUUUUGAUAGGAAAUUCUUUAUACUAUUUACAGCAAGAUCUAUAUGUUUGAUCGAAAAUUUUCAUGCUAUAUCAGCACUUUUUAUAAGAUUUUUAUUUUCAGCCGUUGAUUUUGAAUUCUUUCAAUCGUUAGGUAAAUGAUAUUGAAAAAUCACAAAAUUUAUUUUCUGAAUACUUCAAAUAUGCUAGAUCAAGUCUAACAGAGCUGACCGUCGAUUCGGAAGCUCCAUUAUCGAAAACGCCUUAGGAGCACGAAGGCCUCCGUGCUCCUAAUAGCACACAAGACCUACUAUAUAUAUAUAUAUAUAUAUAUAUAUAGUUGAGCUAGAAUACUAUCGAUAGCAAACGGGUUCCGUUGCCACCCAUUUGUUUUCGAUGAUGGAGCCUCCAAAUCGACGAUCGGUACUGUUGAACAUGAUCUAUACCACUUGAAGUGUUUAGAAAUCAAAUUUUAUACAUUUUCGAUAUUGUUCUCUUAUCCAUCGAGUGGACACAAAAAUGAACUGCUGAAAAUGAAUAUUCCUUAAAAAAUGAUGAUAGGAGUCUUGUAAUCAAGAUUAAGAGUACAGAUCUUGUUUUAAAUAGUUUAAAAUAUUUUCUAAUAAAAAUUCAAUUGAUUUGGAUAUCUUUACGCCGUUAAACUAGAAAACGUCUCAUACCGACCAUUAAAAUUACAAAUUUUGAAACCCUUUGAUCAUUAGGCAAAUGAUGUCGAAAAGAUUUGAAAUUUAAUUUCUAAACACUUCAAGUGGUAUAGAUCAUGUUCAACGGUGCCGAUCGUCGAUUUGGAGGCUCCGUCAUCGAAAACAAAUAGGUGGCAGUGGAGCCCGUUUGCUAUCGAUAGUAUUCUUGCUCAACUCUAUAUAUAUAUAUAUAUAUAUAUAUAUAUAUAUAUAUAUAUAUAUAUAUAGUGCGUCUGGGGUGCUUUUGGAAGCACGGAGCACUCCGUGCUUCCAAGUUGUUUUCGAUGUUGGGACUUUCGAAUCGACGAUCGGCUCCGUUAGACUUGAUCUAGAGUAUUUGAAGUAUCUAGAAAAUAAAUUUCGCGAUUUUUCGAUAUCAUUUGCCUAGUGAUCGAAGAGGCUCAAAAUCAACGGCUGAAAAUAAAAAUCUUACAAAAUAUGAUGAUAUGAUAUUAAAAUUUUAGAUCAAAGUUAUUGAUCUUGUUUUAUAUGGUAUAAAGAAUUUUCUAUCAAAAUUUCAUGUGAUUUGGAUAUUUCUACACCGUUAAACUUGCAAACGGCUCACCACGGCCAUUAAAAU
rnacentral:lncRNA from 1 species